rnacentral:rRNA from 1 species
CGGGUGAGGAGCGCGUGACUGACCUGCCCUUGAGUGGGGGAUACCGGCCAGAAAUGGCUGUUAAGACCGCAUGAGACCCAUGGGUGCGAGCUUGUGGGGAAAGCCUUCGGGUGCUGGAGGAGGGGGUCGCGUCGGAUUAGCUAGUUGGUGGGGUAACGGCCUACCAAGGCGACGAUCCGUAGCUGGUCUGAGAGGACGGCCAGCCACACUGGGACUGAGACACGGCCCAG